rnacentral:siRNA from 1 species
UUUAACAUGUGGUGAUCAUUGUGU